rnacentral:rRNA from 1 species
GGNUCAACCAUAGUUCGCUUUGGAAACUGUCAAACUUGAGUGCAGAAGGGGAGAGUGGAAUNCCAUGUGUAGCGGUGAAAUGCGUAGAUAUAUGGAGGAACACCGGUGGCGAAAGCGGCUCUCUGGUCUGUAACUGACGCUGAGGCUCGAAAGCGUGGGGAGCGAACAGGAUUAGAUACCCUGGUAGUNCACGCCGUAAACGAUGAGUGCUAGGUGUUGGAUCCUUUCCGGGAUUCAGUGCCGCAGCUAACGCAUUAAGCACUCCGCCUGGGGAGUACGACCGCAAGGUUGAAACUCAAAGGAAUUGACGGGGGCCCGCACAAGUGGUGGAGCAUGUGGUUUAAUUCGAAGCAACGCGAAGAACCUUACCAGGUCUUGACAUCCCGAUGCUAUUUCUAGAGAUAGGAAGUUACUUCGGUACAUCGGUGACAGGUGGUGCAUGGUUGUCGUCAGCUCGUGUCGUGAGAUGUUGGGUUAAGUCCCGCAACGAGCGCAACCCCUAUUGUUAGUUGCCAUCAUUCAGUUGGGCACUCUAGCAAGACUGCCGGUAAUAAACCGGAGGAAGGUGGGGAUGACGUCAAAUCAUCAUGCCCCUUAUGACCUGGGCUACACACGUGCUACAAUGGUUGGUACAACGAGUUGCGAGUCGGUGACGGCGAGCUAAUCUCUUAAAGCCAAUCUCAGUUCGGAUUGUAGGCUGCAACUCGCCUACAUGAAGUCGGAAUCGCUAGUAAUCGCGGAUCAGCACGCCGCGGUGAAUACGUUCCCGGGCCUUGUACACACCGCCCGUCACACCACGAGAGUUUGUAACACCCGAAGUCGGUGAGGUANCCUUA